rnacentral:rRNA from 1 species
UACGGGGGGGGCAAGCGUUGUUCGGAAUUACUGGGCGUAAAGGGCUCGUAGGCGGCCAACUAAGUCAGACGUGAAAUCCCUCGGCUUAACCGGGGAACUGCAUCUGAUACUGGAUGGCUUGAGUUCGGGAGAGGGAUGCGGAAUUCCAGGUGUAGCGGUGAAAUGCGUAGAUAUCUGGAGGAACACCGGUGGCGAAGGCGUCAUCCUGGACCGGCACUGACGCUGAGGAGCGAAAGCCAGGGGAGCAAACGGG